rnacentral:tRNA from 1 species
GCAGUGGUGGUUCAGUGGUAGAAAUCUUGCCUUCCAUGCAUGGGGUACCCAGGUUUGAUUCCUGGCCAAAGUA